rnacentral:lncRNA from 1 species
GGUUUUAUCCAAAGUGAUUAACAAUAGAGGACAUAAAAAUCCAGAGCUAAACAUUUACAGGCCCAACCUGAAGGAGACUAAAGGGUAAUAGUGGGAUAGAGGAGGAAAAGAUGAGAUUGGAAUGAGGUCAGAAGUAGGUAGUUAGUUAUUAGAGGUGUUAGGAGAGUAGGUGCUUAUUGAAGAGCUUGGACUUUAGAAGGUUAUUACAGAUAGUGAGGUAAUGCUGGCUAGAUGUUAGCUACUCUAGCUAAUGUUUCUUCCUCUCCUUCUCCUCUGUUUCUCAGGCUCAGACUGCACCUUCAGAGACGAUGAGAAGAAAUCCUCCAGUCACCCGGACUCGUCCACCUCCGGACACAACACCUACACCAUCCCCAGCCCCACCGAUGUUCAGAACACUGCAGGUAGACCAGAACCUCUGGGUUUUAAGCUGGAUGAGAGACAGAGACUCGCCCGAGAGAGACGAGAGGAGCGGGAGAAACAGAACGGUAUGAAACAGGAGUGUGUUUUAAUCCUGUGCAUGCGU